rnacentral:rRNA from 1 species
UGAGCAAUCUGCCCUUCUCAUCGGAAUAAGCGUUGGAAACGACGUCUAAUGCCGAAUACGACCUCCUUUCGCAUGAUCGGAGGUGAAAAGCUCCGGCGGAGAAGGAUGAGCUCGCGGCCUAUCAGCUAGUUGGUGUGGGUAAUGGCCCACCAAGGCGACGACGGGUAGCCAGCCUGAGAGGGUGACCGGCCACACUGGGACUGAGACACGGCCCAGACUCCCUAGGGAGG